GAAAUGCGAUAAGUAAUGUGAAUUGCAGAAUUCAGUGAAUCAUCGAAUCUUUGAACGCACAUUGCGCCCGCCAGUAUUCUGGCGGGCAUGCCUGUUCGAGCGUCAUUACAACCCUCAGGCCCCCGGGCCUGGCGUUGGGGAUCGGCGGAAGCCCCCUGCGGGCACAACGCCGUCCCCCAAAUACAGUGGCGGUCCCGCCGCAGCUUCCAUUGCGUAGUAGCUAACACCUCGCAACUGGAGAGCGGCGCGGCCACGCCGUAAAACACCCAACUUCUGAAUGUUGACCUCGAAUCAGGUAGGAAUAUCCGCUGAACUUAAGC
rnacentral:misc_RNA from 1 species